AAAGUACUCCCUCCGUCCCAAAAUUCGUGUCUUAGUUUUGUCUAGAUACGGAUGUAUCAAGUCACAUUUUAGUAUUAGAUACAUCCGUAUCUAGACAAAUCUAAGACAAGAAAUUUGGGACAGAGGGAGUAGUUG
rnacentral:pre_miRNA from 1 species